GGCACUUUGGCGGAGUGGUUAACGCGAUGCCCUGCUAUUAAUUAGCUAGGCAUUUCCCUCGGGAGCGUGUGUUCGAAUCACACAGGUGUCG
rnacentral:tRNA from 1 species